rnacentral:lncRNA from 10 species
AGACUAGUGGAGAGCUGGGCUUCGAGGCGUCAGUGUGAAGGGAAGGCUAAGGACGCAUCGGUGCUGGAGAGUUGAGAAUAUGCCUUCCCCUCCACCCCCAACCCAGUCACCUUAUUUGAAAAAAAAUUAAAAAACACCUUUUAUUUAAAAACCUAACCCUGGAAGUUUGCUCGCUGCCUGAAAAUCAUAUGCGUGGUUUUUCCUGUUUCCUGCUCUGUAGCUGACAUCAGGGGAGCAACGUGAACACAGGAAAAUGGAAAUCAACAUUUGAAACUUUUAAAUGGAAGCUUUAUUGGGGUUCCACAUAUGGAAAACUGCAAAUAGCAGAAGUAUGUGACUCAAUAAAUUAUUCUGGAGUGACCACAUCCUCUAACUGCCUCCCAGGACAAGACGGAGAAUGUGAACAAUGCUCCUGAAGGCCCCUUUCCCUCAAAGAAUCACUGCAAUUGAAGGAAAAAUGCUCCAUGUCCCCUCUGCCAGUUGGUGUUUAUCAAAGGACAACGGAGGAAGAGAGACAAAGUGCCUGGAUGUGUGUGUUAAUCAAGAGUUGUCAGGACCCUGCCUCUAAAAGAAAGCGCUAAAAUGAUGCUUUUGACAAGACUUUUCUCAAAGUGGAUGCAGUCUAAGGGUUGGAAAACAAGGCCCAAUCAGGCUAGGUCUGACUUGUCGCCUGCUUUUGUAAAUAAAGUUUUAUUGGCUCACAGACACACU